UAGUCCACGCCGUAAACGAUGUCUACUAGCCGUUGGGGGGAAAUUACCCUUUAGUGGCGCAGCUAACGCCUUAAGUAGACCGCCUGGGGAGUACGGCCGCAAGGCUAAAACUCAAAGAAAUUGACGGGGGCCCGCACAAGCGGUGGAGCAUGUGGUUUAAUUCGAUGCAACGCGAAGAACCUUACCUACCCUUGACAUCCUCGGAACUUGUCAGAGAUGACUUGGUGCCUUCGGGAACCGAGUGACAGGUGCUGCAUGGCUGUCGUCAGCUCGUGUCGUGAGAUGUUGGGUUAAGUCCCGUAACGAGCGCAACCCUUGUCCUUAGUUGCCAGCGCGUAAUGGCGGGGACUCUAAGGAGACUGCCGGUGACAAACCGGAGGAAGGCGGGGACGACGUCAAGUCAUCAUGGCCCUUAUGGGUAGGGCUACACACGUGCUACAAUGGCCGGCACAGAGGGCCGCGAACUCGCAAGGGCAAGCAAAUCUCAGAAAACCGGUCGUAGUCCGGAUUGGAGUCUGCAACUCGA
rnacentral:rRNA from 1 species